rnacentral:rRNA from 1 species
UUUUUGGGGGGGAGCUACACAUGCAAGUCGAGCGGUAACAUUUCUAGCUUGCUAGAAGAUGACGAGCGGCGGACGGGUGAGUAAUGCUUGGGAACAUGCCUUGAGGUGGGGGACAACAGUUGGAAACGACUGCUAAUACCGCAUAAUGUCUACGGACCAAAGGGGGCUUCGGCUCUCGCCUUUAGAUUGGCCCAAGUGGGAUUAGCUAGUUGGUGAGGUAAUGGCUCACCAAGGCGACGAUCCCUAGCUGGUUUGAGAGGAUGAUCAGCCACACUGGGACUGAGACACGGCCCAGACUCCUACGGGAGGCAGCAGUGGGGAAUAUUGCACAAUGGGCGCAAGCCUGAUGCAGCCAUGCCGCGUGUGUGAAGAAGGCCUUCGGGUUGUAAAGCACUUUCAGUCAGGAGGAAAGGUUAGUAGUUAAUACCUGCUAGCUGUGACGUUACUGACAGAAGAAGCACCGGCUAACUCCGUGCCAGCAGCCGCGGUAAUACGGAGGGUGCGAGCGUUAAUCGGAAUUACUGGGCGUAAAGCGUACGCAGGCGGUUUGUUAAGCGAGAUGUGAAAGCCCCGGGCUCAACCUGGGAACUGCAUUUCGAACUGGCAAACUAGAGUGUGAUAGAGGGUGGUAGAAUUUCAGGUGUAGCGGUGAAAUGCGUAGAGAUCUGAAGGAAUACCGAUGGCGAAGGCAGCCACCUGGGUCAACACUGACGCUCAUGUACGAAAGCGUGGGGAGCAAACAGGAUUAGAUACCCUGGUAGUCCACGCCGUAUACGAUGUCUACUAGAAGCUCGGAACCUCGGUUCUGUUUUUCAAAGCUAACGCAUUAAGUAGACCGCCUGGGGAGUACGGCCGCAAGGUUAAAACUCAAAUGAAUUGACGGGGGCCCGCACAAGCGGUGGAGCAUGUGGUUUAAUUCGAUGCAACGCGAAGAACCUUACCUACACUUGACAUACAGAGAACUUACCAGAGAUGGUUUGGUGCCUUCGGGAACUCUGAUACAGGUGCUGCAUGGCUGUCGUCAGCUCGUGUUGUGAAAUGUUGGGUUAAGUCCCGCAACGAGCGCAACUC